rnacentral:rRNA from 1 species
GAUGAACGCUGGCGGCGUGCCUAAUACAUGCAAGUCGAGCGAACAGACGAGGAGCUUGCUCCUCUGACGUUAGCGGCGGACGGGUGAGUAACACGUGGAUAACCUACCUAUAAGACUGGGAUAACUUCGGGAAACCGGAGCUAAUACCGGAUAAUAUAUUGAACCGCAUGGUUCAAUAGUGAAAGACGGUUUUGCUGUCACUUAUAGAUGGAUCCGCGCCGCAUUAGCUAGUUGGUAAGGUAACGGCUUACCAAGGGAACGAUGCGUAGCCGACGUGAGAGGGUGAUCGGCCACACUGGAACUGGAACACGGUCCAGACUCCUACGGGAGGCAGCAGUAGGGAAUCUUCCGCAAUGGGCGAAAGCCUGACGGAGCAACGCCGCGUGAGUGAUGAAGGUCUUCGGAUCGUAAAACUCUGUUAUUAGGGAAGAACAAAUGUGUAAGUAACUAUGCACGUCUUGACGGUACCUAAUCAGAAAGCCACGGCUAACUACGUG